GCCCCAGACCCCGGGCUCGCCGAGAGCUUUACGGUCGCGGAGCCGGGAAAGCCUGCUGGCUUGCCUGAUGCAGCAUCCUGGCAGAGAGCCUUGGUGUGCCAUGUCUCUGCCAUGAGAAUCUGAAAAUGAGCCCCGUGGAGUGAGGACUUUGAUGAUCUGGAAGGACACUGGCAUGGCAUAGUAGUUACUUACAGGGCAUCAGAUAGCAGAAGACAGUGGACUCACGAGCACCCAUUUCCAUAGCUGGACCUGCUUAUUCAAACGAGCCUGCAGCAAUCACCUC